rnacentral:rRNA from 1 species
GAGACCUUAGGGUCUAGUGGCGCACGGGUGCGUAACGCGUGGGAAUCUGCCCUUGGGUUCGGAAUAACUCGCCGAAAGGCGUGCUAAUACCGGAUGAUGUCGUAAGACCAAAGAUUUAUCGCCCAAGGAUGAGCCCGCGUAAGAUUAGGUAGUUGGUGAGGUAAAGGCUCACCAAGCCGACGAUCUUUAGCUGGUCUGAGAGGAUGAUCAGCCACACUGGGACUGAGACACGGCCCAGACUCCUACGGGAGGCAGCAGUGGGGAAUAUUGGACAAUGGGCGAAAGCCUGAUCCAGCAAUGCCGCGUGAGUGAUGAAGGCCUUAGGGUUGUAAAGCUCUUUUACCCGGGAUGAUAAUGACAGUACCGGGAGAAUAAGCUCCGGCUAACUCCGUGCCAGCAGCCGCGGUAAUACGGAGGGAGCUAGCGUUGUUCGGAAUUACUGGGCGUAAAGCGCACGUAGGCGGCUUUGUAAGUCAGAGGUG